rnacentral:rRNA from 1 species
CGAGUAAAGAUUCGGUCGCUUUGGGAGGAGCUCGCUUACUAUCAGCUUGUUGGUAGGGUAAUGGCCUACCAAGGCUAUGACNGGUUAGGGGGUGUGAGAGCAUGACCCCCAGCAUUGGCACUGAAACACUGGCCAAACACCUACGGGUGGCUGCAGUCGAGAAUCUUCCACAAUGGGGGAAACCCUGAUGGAGCGAUGCUGCGUGCGGGAUGAAGGCCUUCGGGUUGUAAACCGCUUUUGUAGGGGACGAAAUUUUUGACGGUACCCUUUCGAAUAAGAGGUUGCUAACUCUGUGCCAGCAGCAGCGGUAAUACAGAGACCUCAAGCGUUAUCCGGAUUUACUGGGCGUAAAGCGUCUGUAGGGGGUUUAUUAAGUUCCAAGUAAAAUUUCAAGGCUCAACUUUGAAUUCGCUUGGAAAACUAAUAAACUGGAGUCUAGCAGAGGUGCAUGGAACUUGUGGUGUAGGAGUGAAAUCCGUUGAUAUCACAAGGAACACCAAAGGCGAAGGCAUUGCACUGGGCUAGCACUGACCCUGAGAGACGAAAGCGUGGGGAGCAAAACGGAUUAGAUACCCGUGUAGUCCACGCCCUAAACGAUGAAUGCUAAAUGUUCGGGGAUUCGACCCCCUGGGUGUUACAGCUAACGCGUUAAGCAUUCCGCCUGGGAAGUACGGCCGCAAGGCUAAAACUCAAAGGAAUAGACGGGGAUCCGCACAAGCGGUGGAGCGUCUGGUUUAAUUCGACAGUAAGCGUGGUACCUCACCAGGGUUUGACAUCCCUUGACAGCCUUGGAAACAAGGUUUCCUUCGGGCAAGGUGACAGGUGCUGCAUGGUCGUCGUCAGUUCGUGCCGUGAGGUGUUCCGUUAAGUCGGGAAACGAACGAAACCCCUAUUGCAUGUUACAAUUUCUCAUGCAAGACUGCCCGGAUAUACUGGGAGGAAGGUGGGGAUGACGUCAGAUCUGCAUGGUCCUUAUACCCUGGGCGACACAGGCGCUACAAUGGCAGAGACAAAGGGUUGCAAAACCGCAAGGUGAAGCUAAUCCCAAAAACUUUGUCUAAGUUCGGAUUGAAGGCUGCAAUUCGCCUUCAUGAAGCUGGAAUCGCUAGUAAUCGUGAACCAGCCACGUCACGGUGAAUAUGUUCCCGGAUCUUGUACUCACCGCCCGUCACACCAAGAGAGUUGGUAGCUCCCGAAGC